GACGUAGGAGGCGAGCGUUAUCCGGAUUCACUGGGCGUAAAGCGCAUGUAGGCGGCUGGACAAGUCGUGUGUUAAAGCCCCUGGCUCAACUGGGGGAGGUCAUGCGAGACUGUUCGACUUGAGGGCAACAGAGGCACGUGGAACUCCCGGUGUAGCGGUGAAAUGCGUAGAUAUCCGGAGGAACACCGGUGGCGAAGGCGGCUUCCUGGACCGACACUGACGCUGAGGCGCGAAAGCUAGGGGAGCAAACGGG
rnacentral:rRNA from 1 species